rnacentral:rRNA from 1 species
GUGGGGAAUAUUGGACAAUGGGGGGAACCCUGAUCCAGCCAUGCCGCGUGUGUGAAGAAGGCCUUUUGGUUGUAAAGCACUUUAAGCGAGGAGGAGGCUACCGAGAUUAAUACUCUUGGAUAGUGGACGUUACUCGCAGAAUAAGCACCGGCUAACUCUGUGCCAGCAGCCGCGGUAAUACAGAGGGUGCAAGCGUUAAUCGGAUUUACUGGGCGUAAAGCGCGCGUAGGUGGCCAAUUAAGUCAAAGGUGAAAUCCCCGAGCUUAACUUGGGAAUUGCAUUCAAUACUGGUUGGCUAGAGUAUGGGAGAGGAUGGUAGAAUUCCAGGUGUAGCGGUGAAAUGCGUAGAGAUCUGGAGGAAUACCGAUGGCGAAGGCAGCCAUCUGGCCUAAUACUGACACUGAGGUGCGAAAGCAUGGGGAGCAAACAGGAUUAGAAACCCUAGUAGUCC